AUCCAGAUGACGAAUCCCAAAUAAGACGAAAUGUGCAACCUGGAU
rnacentral:hammerhead_ribozyme from 1 species